rnacentral:rRNA from 1 species
UACGGAGGGCGCAAGCGUUGUUCGGAAUUACUGGGCGUAAAGCGCGUGUAGGCGGCCAGGUAAGUCGGAUGUGAAAGCCCGGGGCCUAACCCCGGAACUGCACCCGAUACUGCCUGGCUGGAGUCCCGGAGAGGAUGGCGGAAUUUCCGGUGUAGAGGUGAAAUUCGUAGAUAUCGGAAGGAACACCAGUGGCGAAGGCGGCCAUCUGGACGGUGACUGACGCUGAGACGCGAAAGCGUGGGGAGCAAACAGG